UACAGAGGGUGCAAGCGUUAAUCGGAAUUACUGGGCGUAAAGCGUGCGUAGACGGUUGCGUAAGUCAGAUGUGAAAGCCCCGGGCUCAACCUGGGAAUUGCAUUUGAGACUGCGUAGCUAGGAUGCGGAAGAGGGAAGCGGAAUUUCCGGUGUAGCGGUGAAAUGCGUAGAUAUCGGAAGGAACACCAGUGGCGAAAGCGGCUUCCUGGUCCAGCACCGACGUUCAGGCACGAAAGCGUGGGGAGCAAACAGG
rnacentral:rRNA from 1 species